GGUUCGAUUAUGGCUCAGAUUGAACGCUGGCGGGACGUUUUACACAUGCAAGUCGAACGGCAGCACGGACUUCGGUCUGGUGGCGAGUGGCGAACGGGUGAGUAAUGUAUCGGAACGUGCCUAGUAGCGGGGAUAACUACGCGAAAGCGUAGCUAAUACCGCCACGCCCUUCGGAGGAAAGCGGGGGACUCCGCCUGCACUAUUAGAGCGGCCGAUAUCGGAUUAGCUAGUUGGUGGGGUAACGGCUCACCAAGGCGACGAUCCGUAGCUGGUUUGAGAGGACGACCACCACUGGGACUGAGACACGGCCCAGACUCCUACGGGAGGCAGCAGGAAAUUUUGACAAUGGGGAAACCUGAUCCAGCCAUCCCCGUGUGCGAUGAAGGCCUUCGGGUUGUAAAGCACUUUGGCAGGAAAGAAACGCACGGGAUAAUACCCCGUGCAACUGACGGUACCUGCAGAAUAAGCACCGCUAACUACAAAGCCAGCAGCCGCAAGAACAUGUGGUGUGGCGGCAAAACGAACCCACCCACGGUGAAGGUGGUGGCGGUUCAAAGAAAGAUGUGAAAUCCCAGAGCUUAACUUUGAACCACGGAAUCAAUGGGAGUCAGAUGUGCCAGAGGGAUGUAACUGCGGCAGCAGUGAAAUGCGUAGAUGCGAUAUCACUGACGCCAGGAAGCCGCAGCCCUUGGGAUGGGAAUAAUUUCGACGCCUUCCAUGCAACGAACGUAAGGAGCAAACAGGAUUAGAUACCUUGCAACUACGCCCAAUCACGUUAAUUUAGCUUCGCUGGGCCUUCGGCCCGUAGCGCAGCUAACGCGUGAGCUGACCGCCUGGGGAGCAUGGUCGCAAGAUCAAACCAAGAAUUGAUUGGGACUGCGCACAUGGUGAUGAUGUGAUUAUAUCUUUCGGAUGCAAACGGUGCAACCAUCACCUUUCGACAUGUUCCUGAACCGAAGAGAUUUGGGAGCGUCGGGCAAGGAGAACCGCAUGUCCGGCGAAAGGCGUUGGCCAGCCGUCGUCAUUGCACGCGAGAUGUCAUUAAGCCGCAACGACAACCCUUGGCUGCUGAGUUAAGCACGAAAUGUCCAAUGACUGCCGGCAUAAACGAGGUGAGAAGGCCGCCGUGGAUGACGUCAACUUCAGCGCCCUGGCGUGGCAGGUUUGCAUCGUCAUAUCAUCAUCGGGAGGGCAUCGCCACCCAGGUAUUUCAACCCAGAAAUCCCGAUCAGCCUGAUCGCAGUCUGCAACUCGACUGGUGUGAAGUCGGAAUCGCUAGUAACGGAUCAGCAUGUCGCGGUGAAUACGUUCCCGGGUCUUGUACACACCGCCCGUCACACCAUGGGAGUGGGUUUUACCAGAAGUAGUUAGUCAACCGUAAGGAGGGCGAUUACCACGGUAGGAUUCAUGACUGGGUGAAGUCGUAAUAAGGUAA
rnacentral:rRNA from 1 species